rnacentral:rRNA from 1 species
CAAUAGCGUAUAUUUAAGUUGUUGCAGUUAAAAAGCUCGUAGUCGGAUUUUGGCUGAGAACGAUCGGUCCGCCGUUAGGUGUGCACUGAUUGGUCUCAGCUUCCUGGUGAGGCGGUGUGCUUCACGGCCACUUAGUCACCGUGGUUACUUUGAAAAAAUUAGAGUGUUCAAAGCGGGCUUACGCUUGAAUAUAUUAGCAUGGAAUAACACCAUAGGACUCCUGUCCUAUUUCGUUGGUCUCGGGACGGGAGUAAUGAUUAAGAGGAACAGUUGGGGGCAUUCGUAUUUCAUUGUCAGAGGUGAAAUUCUUGGAUUUAUGAAAGACGAACUUCUGCGAAAGCAUUUGCCAAGGAUGUUUUCAUUGA